UGGGGAAUAUUGCGCAAUGGGCGAAAGCCUGACGCAGCAACGCCGCGUGAGUGAUGAAGGUCUUAGGAUUGUAAAGUUCUUUCGCUCGUGACGAUGAUGACGGUAACGAGAGAAGAAGCCCCGGCUAACUUCGUGCCAGCAGCCGCGGUAAUACGAAGGGGGCUAGCGUUGUUCGGAAUUACUGGGCGUAAAGCGCGCGUAGGCGGCUUUGCAAGCCAGAGGUGAAAUGCCUGAGCUCAACUUAGGAAUUGCCUUUGGGACUGCGAGGCUUCGAGGACUGGAGAGGUGAGUGGAAUUCCCAGUGUAGAGGUGAAAUUCGUAGAUAUUGGGAAGAACACCAGUGGCGAAGGCGGCUCACUGGCCAGUUUCUGACGCUAAAGUGCGAAAGCGUGGGGAUCAAACAGGAUUAGAUACCCCUGUAGUCCCUGAGCGGGCUGGCAAGGCGCAU
rnacentral:rRNA from 1 species